GUAACAAGGUCUCCGUAGGUGAACCUGCGGAGGGAUC
rnacentral:rRNA from 6 species